CAGCAGUAGCCGCGGUAAUACGUAGGUGGCAAGCGUUGUCCGGAAUUAUUGGGCGUAAAGGGCUCGCAGGCGGUUUCUUAAGUCUGAUGUGAAAGCCCCCGGCUCAACCGGGGAGGGUCAUUGGAAACUGGGAAACUUGAGUGCAGAAGAGGAGAGUGAAAUUCCACGUGUAGCGGUGAAAUGCGUAGAGAUGUGGAGGAACACCAGUGGCGAAGGCGACUCUCUGGUCUGUAACUGACGCUGAGGAGCGAAAGCGUGGGGAGCGAACAGGAUUAGAUCCGUGUAGUCCCUGUCUCUUAUACAC
rnacentral:rRNA from 1 species